AGUAACGGCGAGUGAAGCGGCAACAGCUCAAAUUUGAAACCUGGCGCAAGCCCGGAUUGUAAUUUGCAGAGGAUGCUUCUGGGCAGCGGCCGUUCUAAGUUCCUUGGAACAGGACGUCAUAGAGGGUGAGAAUCCCGUAUGUGACCGGCGCGCACCCUCCACGUAGCUCCUUCGACGAGUCGAGUUGUUUGGGAAUGCAGCUCUAAAUGGGAGGUAAAUUUCUUCUAAAGCUAAAUACCGGCCAGAGACCGAUAGCGCACAAGUAGAGUGAUCGAAAGAUGAAAAGCACUUUGGAAAGAGAGUUAAAAAGCACGUGAAAUUGUUGAAAGGGAAGCGCUUGCAACCAGACUCCGCGGCGGUGUUCCGCCGGUCUUCUGACCGGUCCACUCGCCGCCGCGGGGCCAACAUCGUCUGGGGCCGCCGGAUAAGACCGGAGGAAUGUAGCUCCUAGAGUGUUAUAGCCUCCGGUGAUGCGGCGCGCCCCGGGCGAGGUCCGCGCUUCGGCAAGGAUGUUGGCGUAAUGGUUGUCAGCGGCCCGUCUUGAAACACGGACCAAGGAGUCUAACAUCUAUGCGAGUGUUCGGGUGUCAAACCCCUACGCGUAAUGAAAGUGAACGGAGGUGGGAGCUUCGGCGCACCAUCGACCGAUCCUGAUGUCCUCGGAUGGAUUUGAGUAAGAGCAUAGCUGUUGGGACCCGAAAGAUGGUGAACUAUGCCUGAAUAGGGUGAAGCCAGAGGAAACUCUGGUGGAGGCUCGCAGCGGUUCUGACGUGCAAAUCGAUCGUCAAAUUUGGGUAUAGGGGCGAAAGACUAA
rnacentral:rRNA from 1 species